rnacentral:rRNA from 1 species
UACAGAGGGGGCAAGCGUUGUUCGGAAUUACUGGGCGUAAAGGGCUCGUAGGUGGCCAACUAAGUCAGACGUGAAAUCCCUCGGCUUAACCGGGGAACUGCGUCUGAUACUGGAUGGCUUGAGUUUGGGAGAGGGAUGCGGAAUUCCAGGUGUAGCGGUGAAAUGCGUAGAUAUCUGGAGGAACACCGGUGGCGAAGGCGGCAUCCUGGACCGACACCGACGCUGAGGAGCGAAAGCCAGGGGAGCAAACGGG